rnacentral:SRP_RNA from 1 species
GCCGGGCGCGGUGGCGCGUGCCUGUAGUCCCAGCUACUCGGGAGGCUGAAGUGGGAGGAUCGCUUGAGCCCAGGAGUUCUGGGCUGUAGUGCGCUAUGCCAAUAGGGUUCGGCAUCAAUAUGGCGACCUCUCAGGAGUGGGGGACCACCAGGUUGCCUAAGGAGGGGUGAACCGGCCCAGGUCAGAAACGGAGCAGGUCAAAACUCCCGUGCUGAUCAGUAGUGGGAUCGCGCCUGUGAAUAGCCACUGCACUCCAGCCCGGGCAACACAGCGAGACCUCGUCUCCU